rnacentral:lncRNA from 1 species
UUCAUCAGGUGUUCCUGCUGACCACAAAGUGGCUGCUUAGUCUACGCCCCCUCCUAGGUGGCUGGACUGGAAGAUCUUUCUGCCUCAUGGUGAGAAUCCUGUUCCUGCAGUUCAGUUAUCCUGUGUUUGGUCCUUUUAGAUAGCAAGAUGGAAACRUCGUCCCUUUCUGACCUUGUGGCUUCUGGAAAAAAAAUGUUAUUUUGAAAGAAUUUUAAUUCAGAGUAGGUCAAUGAGAGCUU